UACGGAGGGGACUAGCGUUGUUCGGAAUUACUGGGCGUAAAGCGUGCGUAGACGGUUAUUUAAGUCGGAUGUGAAAGCCCCGGGCUCAACCUGGGAAUUGCAUUCGAGACUGAGUAGCUAGGGUACGGUAGAGGGAAGCGGAAUUUCCGGUGUAGCGGUGAAAUGCGUAGAUAUCGGAAGGAACAUCAGUGGCGAAGGCAGCUCUCUGGGACGGUACUGACACUGAGACGCGAAAGCGUGGGGAGCGAACAGG
rnacentral:rRNA from 1 species